rnacentral:tRNA from 1 species
GCGGCUGUGGUUUAGUGGCUAUGACCUGGGCUUCCCAAGCCUAGAACCCGGGUUCGAAUCCCGGCAGUCGCA